UUUUUGUUUCUUUGUUGUUGAUGAGUAAUAUAUAGUUUCUGAAUACUGAGAAGUUAGUCUGGAGUGUCAAACUGUCAGAGUUAUAAGUCGAGAUAUUAAAUUUUGUGUGAUGAAUUGAAAAACUGAAUACAAUAGGUAAGUUGGAGAACAGUAAUUGAAUAUAUAUAAACCACAAAGAGAAUAAGUGGGAGAUGAACGCAUAAGAAUAUGGAAGUAUUGUUGAAUUGAUAGUCAUAGAAUGGAUUAUGGGUUGAAUUAAGAUGAAAGUAGUAAGCCUUGGUAUUUUAUAGUUUGAUAAUUGAUUUUAGAUAGCCAGAGUACAGUCAAUUGUAAUACUAAUAGAUCUAAUUAAUAUAACCAAUCUUUUCUCGUAUUCGAACCCACCUCUAUUAGUUCAAUUACUUUGGUAUAUUGAAGCUUGAACACAAUGAGAAUAAUAUUUUGGUGACACUGUCGGAGAAAUAAUAACAAUAUGAAAUGUUAGAAAUUGAUUGUAUGGGAGAUGGAAUUA
rnacentral:lncRNA from 1 species